rnacentral:rRNA from 1 species
CUAUGAUCCAGAGAUUUCCGAAUGGGGGAACCCAACAUCUUUAAUAGGAUGUUACGAUUGUGUGAAUACAUAGCACAUUCGAGGUAGACGCAGAGAACUGAAACAUCUAAGUACCUGCAGGAAGAGAAAGAAAAUUCGAUUCCCUGAGUAGCGGCGAGCGAAACGGGAAAAGCCCAAACCAGCAAGCUUGCUUGUUGGGGUUGUAGGACUCCAAUAUGGUAGUUCUUUCAGAUAGUCGAAUGACUUGGAAAAGUCAGUCAAAGAGGGUAAAAACCCCGUAGACGAAAUGUGGAAGACACCUAGGAGGAUCCUGAGUACGGCGGAACACGAGAAAUUCCGUCGGAAUCCGGGAGGACCAUCUCCCAAGGCUAAAUACUCCCUAGUGACCGAUAGUGAACCAGUACCGUGAGGGAAAGGUGAAAAGCACCCCGGAAGGGGAGUGAAAUAGAACCUGAAACCGUGUGCCUACAACAAGUCAAAGCCCGUUAAUGGGUGAUGGCGUGCCUUUUGUAGAAUGAACCGGCGAGUUACGAUUGCAUGCGAGGUUAAGUUGAAGAGACGGAGCCGCAGCGAAAGCGAGUCUGAAUAGGGCGUUUGAGUAUGUAGUCGUAGACCCGAAACCAUGUGAUCUACCCAUGUCCAGGUUGAAGGUGCGGUAAAACGCACUGGAGGACCGAACCCACGUACGUUGAAAAGUGCGGGGAUGAGGUGUGGGUAGCGGAGAAAUUCCAAACGAACUUGGAGAUAGCUGGUUCUCUCCGAAAUAGCUUUAGGGCUAGCCUCGGAAUUGAGAAUGAUGGAGGUAGAGCACUGUUUGGACUAGGGGCCCAUCUCGGGUUACCGAAUUCAGAUAAACUCCGAAUGCCAUUCAUUCAUAUCCGGGAGUCAGACUGUGAGUGAUAAGAUC